UUAUGGUUUAGUUAUUUUAAUUUUAUUUUUUGAUGUUAAAAAUACACGAUGGAUACUUAAAUAUUGAUGUUUACCUUUUUUAUUUUGAUAUUUUAUGGUGUAGAUUAACCUAAGUUAAUAUAACAAUCAAAACAGUAGGGCAUGGAAUGGCAGAUCAACAUUGUUAAUUUUCGGAUAAACUUUCUGGAUUUUGCCAAAUGAAGAACUCCAAUGAUAUACAUGUAGGGGCAUGUGUCCAAAGCUGAUCCACAUCAUAACAUACUGAUUGGGAAUAAUGACAUAGUACCAAAAGAUGUGCUUACACUGUAAUUAGCAGAUCUUCACAAAUGAACCUGGCAGAUCCUGGUGCAACCUUACCUUACCAUGUUUACAUCUAACCGUCAGUUUGAGCUGUGUGUGGGUGGUAACACGGACUAUAUACAUGUAUUGCCCAGUAAUUGUCUUGUGAUGGACCUUUUUAACAUAUCAAGUAUUUAAUUGAAGACUUAAGAGGUCAGUUUUCAUCAAAGAAUUUAAAAAUACAGUUUUUUUUGUAAGGGUGAAUAUGUGGUUAUAAUAGCAUUGAUGUAUAUCUUGUGUCUGUUUUUUAAUCAGCCUUUCAUCCAUAAUUAUGAAUAUUAAGCAUGAUAAAGUAUUUUAAGGGAAUAUAAUGUAGAAAUGCUAUGUUGUUUCUGCACAAGCUUUUGAAUACAAGAAAUUCUAUGUUCACUCAGCACUGUUUACACAUUGUCAAUGAAUUUGCUUGUUUUAGUUUCCAAAUCUGUCUGUCUCUAGCUCCCUGUGACUAAUGUACUUUUUUACAUUGCAUCCAUUGAUUUUAAAUGGGGUGUAUUAUGCACAUGUCACACUUUUUUUACAAAAACAUCAAGGUCAAAGGUAAAAUAUAUGGGUCAAAAUCAUAACUUUUGCAAUAUUGAAGAUAGCAACUUGAUAUUUGGCAUGCAUGUGUACCUCAUGGAGCUGCACAUUUUGAGUGGUGAAAGGUCAAGGUCAUCCUUCAAGGUCAAAGGUCAAAUAUAUGGGUCAAAAUCGCUCAAAAAGGGACAUUGUGUAUUGUGUUUUACAAACACAUACCUUGUUAUGUUAUGUAAUGGCCUUUCAAUCAUCUUAUUUUUUUAUGAAAUACGCUGGAUUUGUCUUUUCAUUUCAUCCAUGAUAUCAUUAUGUUUUUUUUGCCUGUUACAUUUUGCGGCCCAAUGUACGUGUUAAGCAGUUUAACCAUUUACAACGGCAUUUGUGGCGAGGCUAACAGUCAUAAGGUUGGUCAUUACAUGCACUGCAUAUCAUAAAAUCGUUUGGCUUUUAUUGACAAAAUUUGCGAAAACGGUGUUAAAGACUAAACAUCACAAGUGUCGCAACUUCGUCCCCACCUGGGAAUUCAGAGCGCAAAUUUCAGAUUAUAAUGUGUCAGAUUUUACACUUGUAUAAUGAAGAAGUCAUCUCUUGACAAGAUGGUGAUGUCCUGAUCUCGUUCCAAGCCACACAUGAUACUUGUUUUGCUUUUAAUCAAAAUCGGUGUUAAAUAGUAAACAUAAAAAGUGUCACAAAUUCGUCCCUAUUGAGAAGUCAGAGCUAAAAUUUCUGAUUUUAAUUUGUCAGAUUUUGCACUUUUAUAAUGAAGAAGUCAUCUCUUGACAAGAUGGUGGUGUCCUUAUCUCGUGCCGAGCCACAAAUGAUUCUUGUUUUGGUUCAAAGCAACAUAUAAACAAAGAUUUUUUUAAUGUACUUUGUUUUAAAUUCUGUUCUUUGAAAAAUGCAUGUACUUUGUUUUAAAUUCUGUUCUUUGAAAAAUGCAUAAUAAGUCAUCAACUAUUAUAAUUUUAUGAAAAUAUUACUUUAAUUUUGGUUAAUGCAGUUAUUGAUAGAAAUUGUUUUAACGCAUACGAUGUAGAUAACGUUCGCGAACCACAAUAGAAACGUUCGUUGAGUUCACGUUUAAACGCGACGGUCACGUUCUUACAGUGGGUAUUAUUUGUUGAUCUUACUUCACUUUAUCGACCAUUUGUCAUUUAACAGUGUGAACACACGAACAAUCAAAGUAAAAUUAGAUGUAAGCGAUCGUUUUUUUCCGUUUAAGUUUCAAACAUUGGCUCGAAAAAGUGUGUGCAAAGGCUCAUUAUCGACAAUAAAGAUAACUUAAUAAUAAGCUGUAAAAACAACAAGCAACAGUUUAUGGGAUUUAAGUAUUAGUCUUAUUAAAAUAUACGGUCAGUACAAACAUAUAUUGUAAUAUAUGCUACUAACAAUCGUUAAGUAUAAACUGUAAGCAAACAUCAACAAUAACAAUAACAGUUCGAGUAUAAAUAUAGGUGAAUGGAAAAAGUGAAAAUCAUUUAAUUGUCUUAUGAAAAUUAUGAACACAAUGUUCUGGUAUUUUCUUCGUGCUGUAGCAUUCUUGUAGUUUGACGAAAUCUCGUGACACCACUGGAAUGGCACGACAGUAACACAUGGGUUUGACUGCAAAACAUAACAGAAACGCGCGAGUACAAGUCUAACAAAUGACAGUGUUUUAACAAGUUUGUAUUUCUCCUAACCAUUACUUCGUUACUAUGGAAAAAAAAAACAAUUUUCAAAAACUGUACAGAACAAGAAAUUUACGCAGAAUUACGACUUCAGUAUAACUUGAUGUCAUGAUACAAUUAAGUAUAAAAAUAUACUGAAACAAUAUUGACAUAACUUGAAACAUCCUUAUUAUGUACAAAUGCCUACUGGUACGCCCUACUCUAGAUAUUUUGAGUUCGACUACUGGAUAGAUAUAGAUACACAGAGGUUAGUAAGGAAAUGCAUUAACAGUUAUUUUGCACAACUAUUAAAUUAUAAGUCACAUGUUAUGUACACUAGCCUGUAGAGAUAGUGCAGGACGUUGGCGAGUCGGCGUACGGCAUAAUACCGAAGGCAACCGGUCACCAAAAUCCUGCUAUGUGAUAGGAUUGUACUUAUAUUUUGUAUAAGUAUAUAGAUCGCGCGAUUUUUUGGUAUUUUUAUUUGCUGGCGCUAGACUGAUGUGGUCGUUUUAAAAUGAUGUUUUUAUGUUUACGGUGACAAUUAUUUAGUCGGUAUUAGAUUAAUUGGAGGCGGUCGGUAUGUCAGUUGAGCAGUCAGUUACAUUGCACUUAAUGCAAACAAAAACUUUAUCAUUCAUUGACACAUCCAAUGGUAUUUUUAUACACGAUCUAUGAUACCAAGAAGGACAUCGGUCGCAUUGAAUCAUAUUGUCAACGCAUUCGGGAAGAUUACACAAACAGUAGUUAUUUAUCCGUUCGCGUUUCACGUGAAGCAUACUACGUUUACUUAACGUUUUUUGGGUGACCGGAAAAAGAGAUAUCUCUUCUUGCUCGAAGCAGUGCAUCAAGUGCGAUCUCAUUUUAGAAGAAUCAAAAAUUAUUUCGAAUUCCAAUUGCUUAUUGAGGCAAUACUGGGUAGCAAAGGCAAUGGCAUUAACUCCACAAUCAACAUUAUUGUUUUGUUUCAUCACGGUCGGAAUUGUGAUAUCUAUGUAUUCUUUGUCUUUACCAUAUAAUACUGAAAGUUGUAUUUGAAGGCCAUGUGGUAUUAAUCUGUCUCUAGAACGAUCGUUACCUAAGCUGUCCAAUAGAAAUAUUUGAUUAUCAUGCAACAUCGACACGACCCAAUGGUAAUUAUGGGUGUAGUGAAUUUGGCAAGCAGGCUGUGUUACUGGUUCCAUUAAUUUUUCCACAUUCCAGUGACUCUUAUCUUCGGACAACAUAGGUACGGAUUCAGAUAACUGAAGCCCAUUUAUAACACCCUUUACCUUGCGUCUCAAUAAGAUAUGAGCGGCUUCUAUGUGACUUGAAUAUAAUUGAUCAUUUGAUAUUAAAGCGUAAUUAUUUUAGUGCAGUCAGACGCAGUAGCCGCCGAAACGUACACCUACUACGUUUGUUAAGUGAAAUGUCUGUGCGCCGUUAUUUUGCUAGAUUUCGUAUAACGUCUUCCUUAUGAACUGCAUAAUGUUACAACUUUGAUAAAAACACUCAAUUCACCAUUAUUGUUGAGUUAAUCAUAACGCUAAAACGGACUAACUUAUGUACAUGGAGAAAGUAAAUAAAAAACAUUUUCUGGAGCAAGAAGUUGAAAAACAAAACAUUACACAUCAAUUUUGACUUCCAUUGCAACCAAAUUUAGGUUCGAUGAUGACAGCCAGAUAUUGCUCUCUAUUAAUUGAAUGUUUGAAAAAUUCGUUAGACCAGUAUCAUGCGAAAAUGGAUCUUAUUUAAUUGUGGUUCCCUCAUUGAACUUAUGUUGUCUGUCAACUUUUAGAAUAAUGUGUAAGAAAUAAAUGUAUUGCUUCAGAUUCACGAGCUUUUUUUUAAGAAAUGAAAUAUGCAAAUGUAUGUUAUAUAUAUUUUUUUCUGUUUCUUAAACGUAUCUUAUUUAUUUUGGACUACGUGCUUAUUUUUUUUAAGAAAUGAGAGAUUCAAAUGUGUCUUAUUUAUCUUUCAUCCAUGUCUUAAAUGUGUUUUAUUUAUAUAAGACUACAUUCUAUACUGCCAGUGUCAUGCGAAAAUGGAUCUUAUUUCUUAAUAUCCACCUUCACACUUUAUUCUUUAUUAGCGCCGUCUUUCAUUAGGCUAUCACUAUUUAAAGAACAGAUUACUGUGAAAUUAAUUAAAAUGUGCAACGGUGAUAUUGAUCCAUUCUCGUUGUUAAUUUAAAAUGUACACAACAGUUUAGCAAUAAAUGAAAUCAGUUAUUUUGGCAGUUCAUCCUUUUUUUCCAGUACGGUAGCCAGGUGCCUGUGUAUUGAGCUGACAAGAUAGGGAUCAUCACAGCAGGUUGCUAAUACACAGUGUAGACUUCCCCUGUUUUAUUAUUGUAUUUGUUAUUUACCUGAUUGGAAUAAAUGAGGUGUAUUCAA